AACGUAGGACGCAAGCGUUAUCCGGAGUUACUGGGCGUAAAGCGCGGGCAGGCGGUUCUGCCAGUCUGAUGUGAAAUCUCCCCGCUCAACGGGGAGCGGCCAUUGGAAACUACAGAACUGGAGUCUGACAGAGGUAGGCGGAAUUCCGGGUGGAGUGGUGAAAUGCGUAGAGAUCCGGAGGAACACCAGAGGCGAAGGCGGCCUACUGGGUCAGUACUGACGCUGAGCCGCGAAAGCCAGGGGAGCGAACGGG
rnacentral:rRNA from 1 species